rnacentral:rRNA from 1 species
UACGUAGGUCCCGAGCGUUGUCCGGAUUUAUUGGGCGUAAAGCGAGCGCAGGUGGUUUAUUAAGUCUGGUGUAAAAGGCAGUGGCUCAACCAUUGUAUGCAUUGGAAACUGGUAGACUUGAGUGCAGGAGAGGAGAGUGGAAUUCCAUGUGUAGCGGUGAAAUGCGUAGAUAUAUGGAGGAACACCGGUGGCGAAAGUGGCUCUCUGGACUGUAACUGACACUGAGGCUCGAAAGCGUGGGUAGCAAACAGG